CAGCGCCACGGGUGGGAAUGACUAUUAUUGGGCCUAAAGCGUCCGUAGCCUGUUUGUUAAAUCUUUUGUGAAAUCGGUAAGCUCAACUUAUCGGACUGCAGGAGAAACUGGCAAACUAGAGACCGGGAGGAGUAAGAGGAAUUUCAGGGGGAGCGGUAAAAUGCUAUAAUCCCUGGAGGACCACCUGUGGCGAAGGCGUCUUACCAGAACGGUUCUGACGGUGAGGGACGAAAGCUAGGGGAGCGAUCCGGAUUAGAGACCCGAGUAGUCC
rnacentral:rRNA from 1 species